rnacentral:miRNA from 1 species
UCACACCUGCCUCGCCCCCC